UACUAAAGAAGAAUAGAACAUGCAGCAUAACCAGCACGUACACUUUAGUCUCGUCGGCUCACCACCUUCCGCCAUGCCGGGUUGUUGCGGGCCCUCUGCUAGGAAUGGCUCUUACACUCAGCCACUUCCUGGAUGUUGUUAUGUUCGCAAUAAACAAAUAUUCGAACAUUUCGUUAAGAUUAAAUCAAAGGAUGUCUAUUUAUCGAACCGUAAUACAAAUAUGGCCUUCUUUCGCGCACGCCACCUGAUUGGUUGACACGCCGCAACCUGUUAGGUGAGGUGGGGCUUCUGCCACCAAGUUGCUUACCGAUGUCUGCAGCUGUUCUAUCACAGAUGUCAAUGGUCCUUGACAAUUGAUGCGGAAGUCGUCGGACGUGACUCUGCUAACUCCGGUAGGCUUUGUUUAUAAAACUUCUUCCUUACCUGUUAUAGGACUAACAUAUCAUAUAUAAAUAGCUUAAAUCGAAAAUAAUAUUGACUUUUGAUCGGUAAUUGCUCAACUACCUGACUUCUGACUGUCUAACUAUGCUAACUUAGCUUCAAUCCAAGGAAUUAUUGAGCGCUUAUUCUCAACCCUUGAAUGUCACUAAAAACAAAACAAUCCGCCGCUUUGUUUGCAACUAUAGCCACUAAGGUCAUAUUCCUACACUCUCCGACCUCGGCAGUACUCAUACAUCUAAUCUUUCUCUGGAGUUGUUGUGGGGCUCUGGAGUAAACAAACUCGAUGUCUCCCAGAUAUACUUCUACAUCUAUCAAGCUGCUUGAACAACCAAGCCUACUGUUCCAAAGUUUGCACUGUACUAAACUGUUGUUUAUAAACUGCAAAGUUACCUAAUAGUACUCUAGAGGGCCUGGUUCUCCUGUCGCUACUUCAAAUAAAUAAAUAAAUAAAUCAAUUAUAAAACAAAACUUUCACCCUAAACUUGGUUGACUUCCUGUGUCUAUGAGUGCUUGGAGUUCGUGGUUAUUAAUUUUUAUGUCCUUGUACAUCCAUCCUUUCUGUUGUUUCAAACAAAUAACUUUGUUUUUCAUGUGGCUUUGUUUGUACUUGUUUCACAAGAAUGUUGGCAUUACUUCUAGUUGGACACUGAUUUGCUAUGUGGCCAAAAGAAUUACAAUUGAAACAUUUUCCCCCCAAAUCUUUAAAUCUACCCUCACAUGAAAGAUGACCUCUUUUACCACAGUUGAAGCACUUUGAUUCAUUAUCAUCAAUUGGCUUUGUAAUCACUUUGCUUAUUGGGCUAUUUGUCUUAGAUUUAGAUUUCAUUACUUCCUAAUUUUUCAAUUCAAUCUUAAAGUCUGAAUAAGAUGUAGAGCCAUAUAAUAUGGACUUGUCGAAUUCUUGGUCGGGAAUUCCAUCAAUCACAUGUUGAAUUAUGAUGCUUCCUCAAGAUUGACUUGACAUCCAAGUUCUCUCACAUUUAAAAAAUAUUCAUAGUAGAUUUCGUAUUGUUGCUUUUUUCUUUUAGUUAAAAGAAUAUGAAUAUUCCUACUAUCAAUUGGGUUGUCGAAUUUAUGGCCUCUAAGGUCUGGCCAAAUUGAGAAGAUUGGUUGUGACCCCAACCAUAAUUUGGCUACUCCAGUCAUAUGCUUGUCUCAAAGAUUAAGCCAUGCAUGUCUAAGUACACGCCAUAGCAAGGCGAAACCACGAAUGACUCAUUAAAUCAGUUAUGGUUCCUUAGAUCGUACACAUUUACUUGGAUAACUGUGGUAAUUCUAGAGCUAAUCCAUGCAAUUGAGUCUAGGUAAAAAUUGAAAUUAAAAUGAUCAAAGUGAAAAUAAACACAAAAUUUAUGGGUAAUCAAGUUGUGAGCAUGAGGAGAAAGUUAUGUAGGUUUUUAAAAACUCACAGUUUUGAUGAAAGUUCAGUCAGGAGACUUGGUGUUUGUUUGUCGUCCUGCUGACGUGGAAGGUUCUCCAUGUAGGGCUUGUAGAAGCUUGUACCUUCUGUAAAGUUGAUUGCGGCAUGUCGUUUUGAGCAUUGUCUCGAUGUCAGCCCGAAGGUGGGGAACUUCCCAACGGGUUUGUGUCACUCCGAUCCUCGGUUUCUAUGUCUUACAGGAUUUUCAGCUGUGUCGUUAGGAGGGUUGACAGCUUGCUCCUGCCGUUGGCGAUCUGUGUUAGCGGGUCUGCGGAGGUAACUUGGGGCGGCGUUUCCUCCUCAAAUUUUGUCUUUUGUUGGGGGAGAGAUUGCUCGGUUGUAUCGUUGGAAUGGCGGGCUUGUUCCGCUAUCUCUGCUCUUUCUUGCUUCUAUCUGGACAGGCUUCUUACCUUCUUCGUUGUGGUCAUCCUGUCAACUUAAGCUAUGGUGUGAUAUCCUGAGGGUCUCUCGCUGUGGUGUGAAAUCCGAGAGAAUCUCUCGCUUUACUGUGUUAACCGAGAGGAACAGUCAGGAUGUGGAGAGUUUUCCAGUACCCCUCUGCACCUUGGAAGACCUUUAACAGUUAUCACAGUGCACAGGCAGUCAUUGUCGAGGCAGAGCGGAAGACACAAAAAACGAAGGGACUCAGUUGUACUAGGAAAGUUCCAUGAACAGAUAAGAGUCAAGCUAGGAUCAAGAUGGAGAUUUGAUAAAAGUUCUUACUGGCCUACAUGGUCGAUGGUAAAUAUCUCGCUUACCCUCAAUUGUGUAUGUAGACAAUUUCACGUCACCUUGUGCUUCAGCUUUUAUGAACCUUUCUUCUUCUGCAAGGUUAAUUUCAUUGUCAAUAGGAAUCUUGUUGAUAAGCCAAUCUUCUCUAGGAGACAUGUGUGAAGUGCAUCCUGAAUCAAGGUUCCAAAUGUGUGCAUCCUCCUCAGGUAGAUGUGAAGAAGAGUAGAUCAUUUCCGCUGAAGUAAACGCAUGUUCAGUGUUAGCAGAACCAUUCGCUACAUUAGCAUGUUCCCUUGAGUUAUUUUUCCAAGAUGAUGAAGACUUAGUUUGCAUAUUAUUUUGUGGAUAUUUGCAUUUUGGUUUAUUGAAGUUCGCUUUAUCUUGACGAUGCCAACAGUUUCUUGACAUGUGCCCAAAUUUUCCGCAUGUAUGACAUUUCCCUUCAAAUUUGCAUGUUCUUUGUAUCCCUCGGUCAUUUCGAGCUUUAAAAGCUUUUUCAAGGAGGAUGAGAAUCCGAGUUGAUGGAUCCUUCUAGUGUAGGAUUCUUUAAGGGUGGAAAGGAUAUUUUCAAGGUUUAACAUAACGAAUGCACCAAGGUUGCUCUGUCUGCAUCAUGCAGUUGUUAGCCGCCCAAUCAAAAGCCUGGUAUAAGGAUGCCGAGUCAGAACCAACUGUGUAGGCAGAAGAGGAUGGAGGUGGUGACAACACAAAGUCAUGUGGCGACAGGUUAAGGUCGGGUUUGGGGCUGGAAUCAGGUAUGGAAGAGGAAGGGUGUAGAGGGGUGGAGGAACUCACUCCAGGCCGGUUGCUGAGGUCGAGGUUCCCGCCGAUAGUUGGGUCCAGCAGGGAGUUGAACAUGCUGUGAAGGUCCUCCCUGCAGGAGGAGUCGGUGUCGGGAGAGGAGGAGUCUUGGGAGGAAGGAGGAGUGCCCCCUGGUGAGGAGGGGGUGGCGGGGGUGUCGACCCCGUGGGAGUGCUGCGUCUUCUACUGCAGCAUGGAGUUUUCCUGAUUAUUAUGCUUGUUUACCCAUUUACAUGGAGGCUUGCAUUUCUCUGGAAUGCAAUGUACUCCAAAGUGAACAUGACCUUUAGCCCUGAGGAGGAUUCAGUGGGGCAUUGUGAGGGUUGUUGCGAGUGUUGUGUCGGUAUGUGUGUGAAAAUGUUGUUUGUGUGGUUGGAUUCCAUGAGGCGUUGUUGGUAUGUGUGGGUGAGGUGGAUGAAUGUUCUGUCAAGGGUGGAUUUAAACUGGGUGGCACAGGAUGGGGUAAGGUUUCCAGCAAAUGGUAGGCCUAAGAAAGGGGGAGGAAGUGUGAAGGGUUGUUGGUGGGGAAAAGGUUGCUAGAAGUUGGAGUGCUAGAAUAGCUUCAUUGUGGGGGAUUGAAGUGUAGAGUGAUUCAACUUCGAAAGAUACCAUACGGCUAUUAUUAGAAAUUGAAAAGUUUCUGAUCGUUUUUGCAGCAACUGUAACAGAUGUGGGAAACUUUAUUGACAUAUGUUCCUAUUAUCGUAGGUUAAUCGAAAUUUUCACUGAAAAAGCUUCUUUAUACAAAUUCCUCGAUGGUAUUUAUGUAAGAGAACGUAGGGAUGGUUGACAAGGUUUCCUUUGUUAAUUUUCGCAAGGCAAAAUACCUAAAGAACAUAUAGAGAGUGUAUACACAAAUAUUUUCAACAAGAAUACUUUAUUUCAAAAUCCUAGCAAACAUUUAUCUGUGGGAGAGGACGUUGUGAGAAGUGACUUGGUGCCUCCUGAGAUUCCGUUUCUGGAGAAAGUUCUUGCCACAUUGAAAGCAGGUGAACAUACUUCGAACUUCCUCGUGGGUCUCCAUAUGAUUGCGAAACUUGUACUUGUCUGCCAGUACUUUCCCGCAGUGAGGGCAGCGGCGGUACUGCGUCGCUGGUACACAUCAAGUACACGCAUAUGUUAGCCGUAGUUUACAUAUGUGAUAAUAUACUCGGUAUUUCUGGUGCAUGCAGAUGUGUACUCUAGUGUGGGGAAGUAAUUUCUGGAGGGGAGAGAUGAUGGAUGAAAUAAAUUUAGUGAGGGGGUAAAGAGGAGAACCAGCCUAGGAAACAAUCGGACGUAAAGGUGUGUUUGGCUUAUGUACUUUUGGGAGGCUAUAAAAGUUUUGUAAAUUCUUUUCCUCAGCCUUUAAAUUUUCAAAAGUUUUUUUGUCUAAUUUAUGUGAACGUAUGAUUUUAUUAAGUUUUUUAUUAAAAUCAUUAGUAAAAUUAGGUGAAGGGUUUUUUGUUAAAGGUUCAUAAAUUUCCUUAUCUUGAAGUAACUCUUCUGCCUUAGUGUUGUAAUCAGUUGUGUUCAUAAUUACUGUAUUUCUUCCUUUAUCAGAGGGUGUGAUAACAUUGUCUUUAUUUUGCUUUAACGAUCUAAUGGCUUGUCUUUCUCCUUGAUUUAAAAUUAGUCUUGUUUUUUUCAUUCUAAAUUUUUAAUAAUAGGAGUAACUUCUGUUCUAAUUUUAGCUUUAUUAUUAUCUUGUAAUUGUUUUAUUGAAAUUUCUAUAGCAGCUCGAGUUUUAGGAAUAUCAAUUUUUUUUGGAAGGUAUGAAGUUUAAGCCCUUUGAUAGAAGUGUCGUAAUUUCGGGUGUAAUUGAUUGAUUAGAAAGAUUAAUAACAGUAUUUUGGUGAGAUUGGGGUUGUGUUUUUUGUUACCAAGUGUUUAAUUUUUUUUCUUCUUCUUCUUCUUUCUUAUCUUCACUUAAUCAUAUCAAGGUAUCAAGCUUGUAAAGCAUGACAACCAUCAUGAUUGGGUGAAGUAGAAUGCGUCUGCCUUUGUCAUCAAGACUGGGAGCACUACUCAGUGGAAGGCCGACUUAGCUCCAAAAGAAAUGGCCGCCUCUGACAUGAGGAACAGACGCCAUGUGCAGCUGCUCCUAACAUGGAGUACAAACGCUGUUCAUCCUGUAUCCCUGGAUUAGGAGCCCUUACAGGGUACUAUCAGCCGGGCCAGCUGAGCCCAGGUUUUUUUAGCGAGCUUGUUACUGCUCCCCUUCCUCCUUUUUCAUCCGGGCUUGGGACCGGCAAAGGCGGAGUUAUUUUUUUAUUAUUAUUAUUUUUUUAAUUGAAUGUUGCGAAUAGCAGUGGCUUUAUUUUGACAUUUGAUAUCUAAGCACUUAUAAAAUUUUUCAAAUACUUCAUCAUUUAAAAUUCCUUUUAGUUUAGGAAUUAUAAUGACAAUUUUUUAUUCUAGCAUUUAAAAGUUUCUUACCCGUUUCAAAUAAUGUUUUUCUAGAAUAAUUUGUGCGGACAGAUUCUUUUAAAAUUAAAGAAGGUGGAAUUAUGCUUGCGGCGAGACACUGGUGAUUAAAAUGUAAGUGUAAUUUCCAAUUGUUAAUAGAAAGUCUAAGCCUUUCCAUUGUUCUGGCUAGGCGAAGCGCGUCGGUAUGUGUGUGAAAAUGUUGUUUGUG